rnacentral:rRNA from 1 species
CGUGAGGAACCUGCCUUGGAGAGGGGGGAGGUAAACUCCAAAGGAAGUGCUAAUACCGCAUGAUGCAGUUGGGUCGCAUGGCUCUGACUGCCAAAGAUUUAUCGCCCUGAGAUGGCCUCGCGUCUGAUUAGCUAGUAGGUGGGGUAACGGCCCACCUAGGCGACGAUCAGUAGCCGGACUGAGAGGUUGACCGGCCACAUUGGGACUGAGACACGGCCCAG